rnacentral:rRNA from 1 species
UACGGGGGGGGCAAGCGUUGUUCGGAAUUACUGGGCGUAAAGGGCGCGUAGGCGGCCUGCUAAGUCGGAUGUGAAAUCCCUCGGCUCAACCGAGGAACUGCAUCCGAUACUGGCGGGCUUGAAUUCGGGAGAGGGAUGCAGAAUUCCAGGUGUAGCGGUGAAAUGCGUAGAUAUCUGGAGGAAUACCGGUGGCGAAGGCGGCAUCCUGGACCGAGAUUGACACUGAUGAGCGAAAGCUAGGGGAGCAAACGGG